rnacentral:rRNA from 1 species
UAUGGCCAUAUCACGUUGAAACACUAGUUCUUGUCCGAUCACCGAAGUUAAGCAAUAUUGAGGCUGGUCAGUACCUAGAUUGGUGACCCCUUGAGAAUACCAGGGGCUGUAAG